GAUGAACGCUGGCGGCGUGCCUAAUACAUGCAAGUCGAGCGAAUGGAUUAAGAGCUUGCUCUUAUGAAGUUAGCGGCGGACGGGUGAGUAACACGUGGGUAACCUGCCCAUAAGACUGGGAAACUCCGGGAAACCGGGGCUAAUACCGGAUAACAUUUUGAACCGCAUGGUUCGAAAUUGAAAGGCGGCUUCGGCUGUCACUUAUGGAUGGACCCGCGUCGCAUUAGCUAGUUGGUGAGGUAACGGCUCACCAAGGCAACGAUGCGUAGCCGACCGGAGAGGGUGAUCGGCCACACUGGGACUGAGACACGGCCCAGAAUCCUACGGGAGGCAGCAGUAGGGAAUCUUCCGCAAUGGACGAAAGUCUGACGGAGCAACGCCGCGUGAGUGAUGAAGGCUUUCGGGUCGUAAAACUCUGUUGUUAGGGAAGAACAAGUGCUAGUUGAAUAAGCUGGCACCUUGACGGUACCUAACCAGAAAGCCACGGCUAACUACGUGCCAGCAGCCGCCGUAA
rnacentral:rRNA from 1 species